UUUUUAUUACCUGUUGUGUGUUAAAUUUAUGUAUGUGUGUAAGUAUAUAUAUAUAUAUAUAUAUAUAUAUACUUACACACAUACAUAAAUUUAACACACAACAGGUAAUAAAAA